rnacentral:lncRNA from 1 species
UUGUUGUUGAAUUUGAGUAGUAUUUAAAGAAACUUUUAUUUUGAUGAGAAACAAAUUAGUAACUAUGAAGCAUAUAAUGUUUUUUGUUGUUCUCUUUUGUUUUCUGUUUGUUAGCAAAGCAAGAACUCCACCUCCUCCUGAUUUUUGUAACAAGCUAAUUAAUGAUUGUUCCAGCGGUUUCAUUGGUACACCUUCAGCUACAUGUUGUGCUUUGGCAAAGUCAAGUACAAGUCAAGCCAUUUGCAAAUGUGUUCCUUGCCAGUAUAGAUCUCUUGCUGGAAGCCUUGCUAACAAAUGCUCUGGUGUUAAUGUCACCUGUGCUGCUUGCUAAAAAUCAUAAGCAAGUUAAUCACUUCGAAUAAAAGGCAUAAAACCACUGUGAGUAUAGAUCUCGUGUUGGAAGCCUUGCUAGCAAAUGCUCUGGUGUUAAUGUCACCUGUGCUGCUUGCUAAAAAUCAUAAGCAAGUUAAUCACUUCGAAUAAAAAGGCAUAAAACCAUUGUUUAACAUAUCUCUCAUUCUUUGUAGUGCAGUUUAUUUUAGAGAUUCCAGAAUUGCAAAACCGUGAGCUUCAGAAACCAGGUUCGCUUAUACAUGGUCU